rnacentral:lncRNA from 1 species
UGAUGACUUUACUUUGCUCUCGGUGGUUUUUUUUUUCCCCCUACUCUGGGCUCCAAAAUCACUGCAGAUGGUGACUGCAGCCAUGAAAUUAAAAGACGCUUACUCCUUGGAAGGAAAGUUAUGACCAACCUAGAUAGCAUAUUCAAAAGCAGAGACAUUACUUUGCCAACAAAGGUCCGUCUAGUCAAGGCUAUGGUUUUUCCUGUGGUCAUGUAUGGAUGUGAGAGUUGGACUGUGAAGAAGGCUGAGCGCUGAAGAAUUGAUGCUUUUGAACUGUGGUGUUGGAAGAAGACUCUUGAGAGUCCCUUGGACCGCAAGGAGAUCCAACCAGUCCAUUCUGAAGAUCAGCCCCGGGAUUUCUUUGGAAGGACUGAUGCUAAAGCUAAAACUCCAGUACUUUGGCCACCUCAUGUGAAGAGUUGACUCAUUGGAAAAGACUCUGAUGCUGGGAGGGAUUGGGGGCAGGAGGAGAAGGGGACGACAGAGGAUGAGAUGGCUGGAUGACAUCACGGACUCGAUGGACAUGAGUCUCAGUGAACUCUGGGAGUUGGUGAUGGACAGGGAGGCCUGGCGUGCUGUGAUUUAUGGGGUCGCAAAGAGUCGGACACGACUGAGCGACUGAUCUGAUCUAAUCUGACUCUGCCGUUUUUUUUUUUUUUCCUGAUUUUUUUUCACAUAACUAAGAUCUUUAACUUCUCUCCAAGUUUCAUUCAUUAAAUGUCUUGCCACUUGGUCUUGCAGCAUAAAGAGCAUUCUGGCAAAGACUCCCUCAUCCCAAGCGGAGAGUGGCCUGCAGAUUUUGUACACUGCUUCUUCAGCCUCAUUACCAGCUGAAUCAGCAGCUUUCAAUGGAAGGAUCUCACCAGUGGGAAAAUGGGAGACUGAUGAGCCAUCUGAGCCUUCCUUGCCCAGUGCUCCGAAGGAAGAAAGACAUUGUUCAGCAAAUCAAACAGGACUGAAACUUAUCCCAGAGCUUCCCCAGUGGCUCAGCGGUAAAGAACCCACCUGCAAUACAGGAGACACAGGAGACCCGGGUUCAAUCCCUGGGUCAGGAAGAUCCCCUGGAGGAGGACAUGGUAACCCACUCCAGUAUGCUUGCCUGGAGAAUCCCAUGGACAGAGGAGGCUGGCGGGCUACCAUCCACAGGAUCACAAAGAGUCGGAUGAAACUGAGCUGCACACAUGUAUACAGUUGUUUUGCUUUCCUUUUUAUCUGCAAUUAUUUCCCUGUUAUCUUGUUUUAAAUAUUUACAUUUGUG